AUUGAACGCUGGCGGCAGGCCUAACACAUGCAAGUCGAACGAGUGGCGGACGGGUGAGUAAUGUCUGGGAAACUGCCUGAUGGAGGGGGAUAACUACUGGAAACGGUAGCUAAUACCGCAUACCAUCAGAUGUGCCCAGUUGGGAUUAGCUGGUUGGUGGGGGAACGGCUCACAAAGGCGACGAUCCCUAGCUGGCCUGAGAGGAUGACCGGCAACACGGGAACUGAGACACGGUCCAGACUCCUACGGGAGGCAGCAUGGGGGAAUAUUGGACAAGGGGCGCAAGCCUGAGGCAGCAAGGCCGCGGGUAUGAAGAAGGCUUUCGGGUGGUAAAGUACUUUCAGCGGGGAGGCGUUACCCGCAGAAGAAGCACCGGCUAACUCCGUGCCAGCAGCCGCGGUAAUAC
rnacentral:rRNA from 1 species